rnacentral:rRNA from 1 species
AGAGUGAACGCUGGCGGCAGGCCUAACACAUGCAAGUCGAACGGCAGCACAGGGGAGCUUGCUCCCUGGGUGGCGAGUGGCGGACGGGUGAGGAAUACAUCGGAAUCUGCCCAAUCGUGGGGGAUAACGUAGGGAAACUUACGCUAAUACCGCAUACGACCUUCGGGUGAAAGCGUGGGACCGCAAGGCCACGCGCGAUUGGAUGAGCCGAUGUCGGAUUAGCUUGUUGGUGGGGUAAAGGCCCACCAAGGCACGAUCCGUAGCUGGUCUGAGAGGAUGAUCAGCCACACUGGGACUGAGACACGGUCCAGACUCCUACGGGAGGCAG